AGAAGCCCCUAGACGCUGCGCUGAGAAGCACAAGAAAAUUUUCCAGUUUGAAAGGCCAGUAAGACUGAAAACAGAGAAUGGGAAAAGAAAUGAUUUAGCUAUUGUCAUCUCAUGAAAGCAUUUUGUUGAAGCUAAGAUGAGCCAAUUCCUUUGAAGACAAUUAAUAGAUUUAAAGCUCGCAACUGCAGUACCAGUUAUCAUCACAUAAGAAAAAGUAAUGUUUAAAUGAAGCGUUAUCUUUCAUACUGAAAUCUUCUGUGUAGAUAUGCAGCAUGCAGUAUAUAUAUCAAAGUAUGCCAGAAGAAUGCCUCUAUGUGAUACCCUGCACGUAAUCAAAAGGCGUCAAACGAGUCCUCCACUUCAGCUAAGGAUAUAUACCUGUUGCCUAUACCGUGUCCUUCACAGGGACAUGAUGCAGCAUGAAUUUAGUCUACCAUAAAGUACUUCCUUCUAUUCUGGAGUCACAUCUGGAAACCCUUUCCUGAAUAAGGUACCCACGCCAAGUCAAUCAUUUUCUGAAAAAUAAAAUCUGUAAAGAGGUUUUGUUUCC